CAGGACAGCCGCGACACCCCGUCAUCUCACCGUGCCACUCUGAGCACACGCCCCAGGACCCCGGGGCUGCGCAACUCAGGCUGACACAGCCUCGGGCUGCCAAAGGUGUUUUAAUUCACCACCUGUGCGUAAAACGUGUUUUAAUGAGCCUGGUGGUUUAGAACAUACAUAGGAGAUAGUCAUAGAAUGGGCUGGGUGGAAGGGACCUUAAAGACCAUCUUGUUCCAACCCCUUCGCCAUGGGCAGGGAGACCUUCCACUAAACCAGGUUGUUGGGAGCCCCAUCCCACCUGGCCGUGAACACUUCCAGGAAUGGGACAUUCACAGCUUCCCUGUGAAGUCUUGAGACUGUCUCGAGAAUCUGCAGUCUUGCCACCCACACAGUAAAGGAUUUCUUCCUAAUUUAAACCUACUCUCUGAGGGCCCAUGUACUGUUCCAUGGAUUAGGCUUUCCUUGGCUGCAGAGGUAGACAAGUGAGGGAUCUGCUGUUCCUUAACAGAAAGAGAGAACCCAAUGCCAGAAGUGUGUUUGAUAUCCAGUCUUGAACAAACAAGACCUCAGUAGUGCAGAAAGACAAAAUUUCAGUGAACCCAGUCAAGAGGCCAAGCCUCAGCCUUCUCCAUACUCUUCUCUGAACAGGUGUUUGCAGCUUUACUGGGUAAAGGGAAUCACAAAUACAGAUUAUUUCAUGCAUAGAGGAGGGAGAAAGCCCUCCAAAUGUUUUAACAGUUGGUCUUUGUAUGCAGGAAAACAUAAGCUCAAGCAAUUCUGCUGAACACAGCUGUGAGCUCUGAGCAAGAGAAGAGAGCGCUCUAUCAGGCCAGUGCAAAAUCACCAAGGACUUUGGGGUAUUGCUCAUAGGUGGUCACAAAAAGUGCUCACAGGACCACCAGAGGCAAGCUCAACACUGGACUUCACAGACACUCCACUGUCCACCUGCUCAGCAAGGGUCAAACCUGGUAUUAACCACAAGCUUUUAUCCCCAAAGGCAGCUGUACCUUGCACCUGCACAUACCAAAAGCAGUAGCUGUGAGGCCACUGUGUCACUCUGGAUCCCCAACCCGGUUUUCAUUCAGGUAUUUCCCUCUGCAGCAAAACACCAGGAACUGAUCCAUGUCACACAAGCAAUGGUUGCUGGCUUCACAUGAACAAGAUGAGGUCACUUGCUUGCUGAGCAUCAAGCUGACAUGUCAAAUCUGCCUCUCCUCUCCUGUUCCCAAACUUCAUUGCUGUGUUUGUGAGCCUGUCCUGCUUCCACUCCUCAUCCCCACCAGAACUGCACAGAUACUAUGCCAAAUCCCCAUCCAACCCUUCCCAGAUAUCUGAGUACUGCAAGCUCACCUGGAAGCACGGCAUGAAUACACAUGUGGACAACACUACAACACCCACCUUCUUCAGCUGCAAACAAUAACCACCUUUGAGACAUGUUAAGAUGUUCAGGACUUGGUAUUUCAUGCAUAGAGAAAGCAGAUCUUUUAAUUUCAAAUGCUUGGAAAAAAAAACAAACAAAAAAACCCCUCAAACAAAAAUAGAGUGUGGAUUUUUAAAAUUUAUUUCCUGCAGUUACAAGGCACUUGAAAUUAUUUUCAUGUGCUGACAUGAGACAGCUGUGUUUGAGUACAUGGAUUAGACAUCAGUACAAUAUGAAGGUAUGCACAAGUUCAAUUGCACAAGACUAGACUGACAAACUGCACAUGACCUAAGUUUUUGGUUUUUUUUAAAAAAAA